UUCACCUUGUAAGAGAAAAGAAAGUCUACGUGCACUGAAUAUUCCAGUUGAAGAACAUUCCUAGAGGGCUAGUGGGUUUCACUAUGCUGGUGUUUUGGUGAUGUCCCCUGGGCAGAUAAGCUGCUUUUCCUGUCUGCCUGAUGUGAGUGGCUGAGCCAGUGUAGGAGCUGUGCACCAGAAUUUGAGAGGGAGUGUAGAGAGGUAUGAGAAGAGUUAGAGAGGGAAGAGGUUGAGCUGGAAAUGGGGAGCCUAAAAACCACCCAUCCAGGGCAGUAGUCACCUCUUCACGGGCACGUCGCCGGUCUGCUCGUCCACGUAAUCCCGCUUCAGCUCCUCAGGGACGUCGCUGUCACUGUCAUAGUCCUGAUAGGCGCUCUUCUCUUGCUCAUCAGACUCAUACUGAGGAAACAUGGUGGGAUAUGCAACAUGGGGCAUACCAGGUCUCAACACACAAAGUCAGGACAAAAGCCUGGGUGUACUAUUCCCUCAGCUGUCUGCUAGUCACCAGAAUAGUCCAUGGAGAUAGACCACUAGCAGGAAAAACUUACAUGAAGCUGCAAGAUGCUAAAAUUUGACUUAACAGGGCAAAGCUCCCAUGUCUCAUUCUCUAAGAACAUUCUCAGUUCAUCAAGUCGUAUCCUGAGGAAAAGAAAAUGAACAGUCGAAAGGAAGAAAGGGGCAGGGAACGCAUAAACUCAGGAAACAAAAUUAUCAUCAUCAUAAUCACAACUCAUUCAGAUUAGCACAAUAAACUACACACGCUGG
rnacentral:lncRNA from 1 species